UUAAAAUACUGCAUGACUGCUUAGUUUUUCAUAUCCACAGAACCGAUUUAUUUGGAUGUGAAGAGUUUUUUUUUAAUCAAAAGCCAGGACCUGAUCAUCAGCAAGCCCUUUUAUCAAUCAGCAGCUUCCCGUUCCAGGUUGGUUUCUCACUCCCAUGCCUGUAUUUAAUGCAUGUCACAUGCAUGCAUUACAUGUCCAUCACGCCUUUUCAGUUAUGGAGCACUUUUCAAAGCCACCGUAUUCUUCUGCAAUAGAUUUUAUUCACUGUGACCAUAAAAAAAAAAAAAACUAUUUUUAUUAACUUUGAUUUUCUAUGAAUUAUUUUACUACAUAAAUUAGUGAAUGUACUUCAAUGAUGCAAAUAAAUCGCACUUAAAAUAAACAUCCAUCAAGAGAUUAAAGCAUGGCCAAUUUCUUUUUAAACUAACAGUAAAAUUAUGUCACUAGAUGGUUGAUGUUUGCUGGGUUGAUUUGUUUGCUGGAAAUAGGGCAUUUAUGUAAUUCUUUUUAGGUAAAUUCAUAACAAUAAGAACAGAACAUACACACUCUUUUAGAAAUACACACUUUUUGUAGGUGUACAGUUGCCAGAAGAUAAUUUACAAAAAAAAUGCUUCUACAGCAUUUCCUCAAACAUACAAUAAAUGUGGGAGGGUAUUUUGUAGUUCUAGCCCAUAAAUGUUGCUGUAAACUAUGAGUUAUAGCCUUUACUUCAUGAUAUAGUGUAAUCUAUAUAAGAACGAGAUCUCAAAUUGACAAUACAUUUAUACAAUUAAAAUCAAAGCACAGCAUUAACAAUAGACACAUUGAAAACUUAAGCAGGUCCUGGAAUACAAAUCUUAUGACAGAAGUAGAAUAAGCACAUUCUACCAUACUAGAACUGCACGGCUCUGGUUUGAAGUAAUACUUCUGGAACUUACAGUGUGUAUUCUACUUACAUAAGCAACAGAACUGCACAUAUACUCUGUAAUCUUUGAACAGCAAUGCAUUGAAAAUGCAGCCAAACACAAUUUGGAGUAAAUUAGUCUUUAUAGAUGCAAAAAGUGAGGUUUCUAAAGGUGCAAAGCAAAUUAAGCAAAAUGCUUUUGUUUUUAUUGACUGAACUCUGGCUUGAAUCACUCCAACAUACAAAUACAAAAAGGCUAAACAAAAUGA